GAUGAACGCUGGCGGCGUGCCUAAUACAUGCAAGUCGAGCGAACAGAUGAGGAUCUUGCUCCUCUGACGUUAGCGGCGGACGGGUGAGUAACACGUGGAUAACCUACCUAUAAGACUGGGAUAACUUCGGGAAACCGGAGCUAAUACCGGAUAAUAUAUUGAACCGCAUGGUUCAAUAAUGAAAGACGGUUUUGCUGUCACUUAUAGAUGGAUCCGCGCCGCAUUAGCUAGUUGGUAAGGUAACGGCUUACCAAGGCAACGAUGCGUAGCCGACCUGAGAGGGUGAUCGGCCACACUGGAACUGAGACACGGUCCAGACUCCUACGGGAGGCAGCAGUAGGGAAUCUUCCGCAAUGGGCGAAAGCCUGACGGAGCAACGCCGCGUGAGUGAUGAAGGUCGUCGGAUCGUAAAACUCUGUUAUUAGGGAAGAACAAAUGUGUAAGUAACUAUGCACGUCUUGACGGUACCUAAUCAGAAAGCCACGGCUAACUACGU
rnacentral:rRNA from 1 species